rfam:Serratia marcescens subsp. marcescens Db11, complete genome
AAGUGUUGUCAUGUCGCGCGCGGCUGUGGUACCUCUGUAAGCAUUAGUUCUGAAUGAGCACAGUGAACAAACCCAUUAUGAAAGCCUUUGCCCAAGUGAUUAGCCUAGUCGUGAUUAGCGUGGUGGUGAUUAUUAUCCCACCGUGCGGGGCUGCACUUGGACGAAGAAAGGCUUAGCAAACAAGCCGGAAUCGCAAGAGAACCCCCGCACCGUCAGGUCCGGGGGUUUUUUAUUGGCAAGAGAAAAGUGGAGCAAGGGGCAGAGCAUGAAAAACAGAACAAAAUCCUGCAGUUGUCGAAGUAA